GAUGAAGAACGCAGCGAAAUGCGAUAAGUAAUGUGAAUUGCAGAAUUCAGUGAAUCAUCGAAUCUUUGAACGCACAUUGCGCCCGCCAGUAUUCUGGCGGGCAUGCCUGUUCGAGCGUCAUUACAACCCUCAGGCCCCCGGGCCUGGCGUUGGGGAUCGGCGGAGCCCCCCGUGGGCACACGCCGUCCCCCAAAUGCAGUGGCGGUCCCGCCGCAGCUUCCAUCGCGUAGUAGCUAACACCUCGCGACUGGAGAGCGGCGCGGCCACGCCGUAAAACACCCUACUCUUCUGAAGUUGACCUCGAAUCAGGUAGGAAUACCCGCUGAACUUAAGCAUAUCAAUAAGCGGAGGA
rnacentral:misc_RNA from 1 species